GAAUUAUAAAAUCCAGCAUUGGUGUUCAAAAUAAUCACCAUUAUCUUUGAGUCACUGUCGACAGCAGUAAGCAGCUGACUGACAAACGGCCACCAAAUCAGGAGUACAUUUCAGCAAAGCACUGUUGCAGCAGCCAUCACAUUGCUUCACAGUGACGUACUGAGGGUAGUAUGAUGAUCCAAAUGGAGCUGGAGGAAGUUCCUUUAAAAUGGUUCUUGGCUUGCAGGCUGCUUUCUUAGCUUCCAGCAGAGCAGCAUUCAUUUCUGUUAUUUCGUGUAGUUUCAGACCUGUAAUUCUCAUAGCAUCAACACAGCGUCAAGGAAUGUACCCGUCAAGGUUGGCAUGCAUUCUUAACUUCAGCACUAAAUGAAGAUGGGUGGUUAGCUUCAUACCCCAGCUGGGGAAGGUGCCCCCAGUGCCUACUUAUAGAAGAACAGGUGGGGCCCAUAGCUGUCUGAAGGCAGUGAUCAAGAGAAAAUUCUCUGUGACCCUAUUCAGUAAAUGACAACAUAAUUAAAAUUUUGUAGGAUGAACAAAUGAAUAGAACUGAAGAAAUUAAAUUGAUUUUAACAUUU